GGGUUGUGAGGUUAAGCGACUAAGCGUACACGGUGGAUGCCCUGGCAGUCAGAGGCGAUGAAGGACGUGCUAAUCUGCGAUAAGCGUCGGUAAGGUGAUAUGAACCGUUAUAACCGGCGAUUUCCGAAUGGGGAAACCCAGUGUGUUUCGACACACUAUCAUUAACUGAAUCCAUAGGUUAAUGAGGCGAACCGGGGGAACUGAAACAUCUAAGUACCCCGAGGAAAAGAAAUCAACCGAGAUUCCCCCAGUAGCGGCGAGCGAACGGGGAGCAGCCCAGAGCCUGAAUCAGUGUGUGUGUUAGUGGAAGCGUCUGGAAAGGCGCGCGAUACAGGGUGACAGCCCCGUACACAAAAAUGCACAUGCUGUGAGCUCGAUGAGUAGGGCGGGACACGUGGUAUCCUGUCUGAAUAUGGGGGGACCAUCCUCCAAGGCUAAAUACUCCUGACUGACCGAUAGUGAACCAGUACCGUGAGGGAAAGGCGAAAAGAACCCCGGCGAGGGGAGUGAAAAAGAACCUGAAACCGUGUACGUACAAGCAGUGGGAGCACGCUUAGGCGUGUGACUGCGUACCUUUUGUAUAAUGGGUCAGCGACUUAUAUUCUGUAGCAAGGUUAACCGAAUAGGGGAGCCGAAGGGAAACCGAGUCUUAACUGGGCGUUAAGUUGCAGGGUAUAGACCCGAAACCCGGUGAUCUAGCCAUGGGCAGGUUGAAGGUUGGGUAACACUAACUGGAGGACCGAACCGACUAAUGUUGAAAAAUUAGCGGAUGACUUGUGGCUGGGGGUGAAAGGCCAAUCAAACCGGGAGAUAGCUGGUUCUCCCCGAAAGCUAUUUAGGUAGCGCCUCGUGAAUUCAUCUCCGGGGGUAGAGCACUGUUUCGGCAAGGGGGUCAUCCCGACUUACCAACCCGAUGCAAACUGCGAAUACCGGAGAAUGUUAUCACGGGAGACACACGGCGGGUGCUAACGUCCGUCGUGAAGAGGGAAACAACCCAGACCGCCAGCUAAGGUCCCAAAGUCAUGGUUAAGUGGGAAACGAUGUGGGAAGGCCCAGACAGCCAGGAUGUUGGCUUAGAAGCAGCCAUCAUUUAAAGAAAGCGUAAUAGCUCACUGGUCGAGUCGGCCUGCGCGGAAGAUGUAACGGGGCUAAACCAUGCACCGAAGCUGCGGCAGCGACACUAUGUGUUGUUGGGUAGGGGAGCGUUCUGUAAGCCUGCGAAGGUGUGCUGUGAGGCAUGCUGGAGGUAUCAGAAGUGCGAAUGCUGACAUAAGUAACGAUAAAGCGGGUGAAAAGCCCGCUCGCCGGAAGACCAAGGGUUCCUGUCCAACGUUAAUCGGGGCAGGGUGAGUCGACCCCUAAGGCGAGGCCGAAAGGCGUAGUCGAUGGGAAACAGGUUAAUAUUCCUGUACUUGGUGUUACUGCGAAGGGGGGACGGAGAAGGCUAUGUUGGCCGGGCGACGGUUGUCCCGGUUUAAGCGUGUAGGCUGGUUUUCCAGGCAAAUCCGGAAAAUCAAGGCUGAGGCGUGAUGACGAGGCACUACGGUGCUGAAGCAACAAAUGCCCUGCUUCCAGGAAAAGCCUCUAAGCAUCAGGUAACAUCAAAUCGUACCCCAAACCGACACAGGUGGUCAGGUAGAGAAUACCAAGGCGCUUGAGAGAACUCGGGUGAAGGAACUAGGCAAAAUGGUGCCGUAACUUCGGGAGAAGGCACGCUGAUAUGUAGGUGAAGUCCCUCGCGGAUGGAGCUGAAAUCAGUCGAAGAUACCAGCUGGCUGCAACUGUUUAUUAAAAACACAGCACUGUGCAAACACGAAAGUGGACGUAUACGGUGUGACGCCUGCCCGGUGCCGGAAGGUUAAUUGAUGGGGUCAGCGCAAGCGAAGCUCUUGAUCGAAGCCCCGGUAAACGGCGGCCGUAACUAUAACGGUCCUAAGGUAGCGAAAUUCCUUGUCGGGUAAGUUCCGACCUGCACGAAUGGCGUAAUGAUGGCCAGGCUGUCUCCACCCGAGACUCAGUGAAAUUGAACUCGCUGUGAAGAUGCAGUGUACCCGCGGCAAGACGGAAAGACCCCGUGAACCUUUACUAUAGCUUGACACUGAACAUUGAGCCUUGAUGUGUAGGAUAGGUGGGAGGCUUGGAAGUGUGGACGCCAGUCUGCAUGGAGCCGACCUUGAAAUACCACCCUUUAAUGUUUGAUGUUCUAACGUUGACCCGUAAUCCGGGUUGCGGACAGUGUCUGGUGGGUAGUUUGACUGGGGCGGUCUCCUCCUAAAGAGUAACGGAGGAGCACGAAGGUUGGCUAAUCCUGGUCGGACAUCAGGAGGUUAGUGCAAUGGCAUAAGCCAGCUUGACUGCGAGCGUGACGGCGCGAGCAGGUGCGAAAGCAGGUCAUAGUGAUCCGGUGGUUCUGAAUGGAAGGGCCAUCGCUCAACGGAUAAAAGGUACUCCGGGGAUAACAGGCUGAUACCGCCCAAGAGUUCAUAUCGACGGCGGUGUUUGGCACCUCGAUGUCGGCUCAUCACAUCCUGGGGCUGAAGUAGGUCCCAAGGGUAUGGCUGUUCGCCAUUUAAAGUGGUACGCGAGCUGGGUUUAGAACGUCGUGAGACAGUUCGGUCCCUAUCUGCCGUGGGCGCUGGAGAACUGAGGGGGGCUGCUCCUAGUACGAGAGGACCGGAGUGGACGCAUCACUGGUGUUCGGGUUGUCAUGCCAAUGGCACUGCCCGGUAGCUAAAUGCGGAAGAGAUAAGUGCUGAAAGCAUCUAAGCACGAAACUUGCCCCGAGAUGAGUUCUCCCUGACUCCUUGAGAGUCCUGAAGGAACGUUGAAGACGACGACGUUGAUAGGCCGGGUGUGUAAGCGCAGCGAUGCGUUGAGCUAACCGGUACUAAUGAACCGUGAGGCUUAACCUUACAACGCCGAAGGUGUUU
rnacentral:rRNA from 1 species